rnacentral:rRNA from 1 species
CCUACGGGAGGCCGCAGUGGGGAAUAUUGGGCAAUGGGCGCAAGCCUGACCCAGCAACGCCGCGUGAAGGAAGAAGGCUUUCGGGUUGUAAACUUCUUUUCUCAGGGACGAAGAAAGUGACGGUACCUGAGGUAUAAGCCACGGCUAACUACGUGCCAGCAGCCGCGGUAAUACGUAGGUGGCAAGCGUUAUCCGGAUUUAUUGGGUGUAAAGGGCGUGUAGGCGGGAGCGCAAGUCAGAUGUGAAAACUCAGGGCUCAACCCUGAGCCUGCAUUUGAAACUGUGUGUCUUGAGUGCUGGAGAGGCAAGCGGAAUUCCGUGUGUAGCGGUGAAAUGCGUAGAUAUACGGAGGAACACCAGUGGCGAAGGCGGAUUGCUAGACAGUAACUGACGCUGAGGCGCGAAAGCGUGGGGAGCAAACAGGAUUAGAUACCCUUGUAGUC